rnacentral:rRNA from 1 species
AUUGAACGCUGGCGGCAUGCUUUACACAUGCAAGUCGGACGAGUGGCGGACGGGUGAGUAAUGCUUGGGAAUCUGGCUUAUGGAGGGGGAUAACGACGGGAAACUGUAGCUAAUACCGCGUACCAUCGGAUGAGCCCAAAGGGGAUUAGGUAGUUGGUGGGGUAAUGGCUAACCAAGCCGACGAUCUCUAGCUGGUCUGAGAGGAUGACCAGCCACACCGGGACUGAGACACGGCCCGGACUCCUACGGGAGGCAGCAGUGGGGAAUAUUGCGCAAUGGGGGCAACCUGACGCAGCCAUGCCGCGUGAAUGAAGAAGGCCUUCGGGUUGUAAAGUUCUUUCGGUGACGAGGCGUUAAUCACAGAAGAAGCACCGGCUAACUCCGUGCCAGCAGCCGCGGUAAUAC